rnacentral:rRNA from 1 species
AUUGAACGCUGGCGGCAUGCUUUACACAUGCAAGUCGAACGGUAACAGGCCGCAAGGUGCUGACGAGUGGCGAACGGGUGAGUAAUGCAUCGGAACGUGCCCAGUCGUGGGGGAUAACUACUCGAAAGAGUAGCUAAUACCGCAUACGAUCUAUGGAUGAAAGCGGGGGACCGUAAGGCCUCGCGCGAUUGGAGCGGCCGAUGUCAGAUUAGGUAGUUGGUGGGGUAAAGGCUCACCAAGCCAACGAUCUGUAGCUGGUCUGAGAGGACGACCAGCCACACUGGGACUGAGACACGGCCCAGACUCCUACGGGAGGCAGCGGUGGGGAAUUUUGGACAAUGGGCGCAAGCCUGAUCCAGCAAUGCCGCGUGCAGGAAGAAGGCCUUCGGGUUGUAAACUGCUUUUGUACGGAACGAAACGGCUCUGGUUAAUACCCGGGGCUAAUGACGGUACCGUAAGAGUAAGCACCGGCUAACUACGUG